rfam:Candidate division TA06 bacterium DG_78 WOR1_52_54_13891, whole genome shotgun sequence.
UUCCAUUCCGAACAGAGAAGUUAAGCCCAUCAGGGCCGAUGGUACUAUGCUGGUAACGGCAUGGGAGAGUAGGUCGCUGCCGGGU